rnacentral:rRNA from 1 species
UUUUCUGCCACCGAAUACAUUAGCAUGGGAUAAUGGAAUAGGACCCUGUCCUCCUAUUUUCAGUUGGUUUUGGCAGCGCGAGGACUAGGGUAAUGAUUAAUAGGGAUAGUUGGGGGCAUUAAUAUUUAAUUGUCAGAGGUGAAAUUCUUGGAUUUAUGAAAGAUUAACUUCUGCGAAAGCAUCUGCCAAGGAUGUUUUCAUUAAUCAAGAACGAAAGUUAGGGGAUCGAAGACGAUCAGAUACCGUCGUAGUCUUAACCAUAAACGAUGCCGACCAGCGAUUAGGAGACGUUGAAUACAAAACACCACCAUCGGUGCGGUCGUCCUUGGCGUCUCGGUCCUUCACGGGGCCGGGGCGCGGGGGCGGCUUAGCCCGGUGGCACCGGUGAAUGACUCCCCUAGCAGCUUGUGAGAAA